AGUCGAGGGGCAGCAUGGUCUUAGCUUGCUAAGGCCGAUGGCGACCGGCGCACGGGUGAGUAACACGUAUCCAACCUGCCGUCUACUCUUGGACAGCCUUCUGAAAGGAAGAUUAAUACAAGAUGGCAUCAUGAGUCCACAUGUUCACAUGAUUAAAGGUAUUCCGGUAGACGAUGGGGAUGCGUUCCAUUAGAUAGUAGGCGGGGUAACGGCCCACCUAGUCUUCGAUGGAUAGGGGUUCUGAGAGGAAGGUCCCCCACAUUGGAACUGAGACACGGUCCAAACUCCUACGGGAGGCAGCAGUGAGGAAUAUUGGUCAAUGGGCGAGAGCCUGAACCAGCCAAGUAGCGUGAAGGAUGACUGCCCUAUGGGUUGUAAACUUCUUUUAUAAAGGAAUAAAGUCGGGUAUGCAUACCCGUUUGCAUGUACUUUAUGAAUAAGGAUCGGCUAACUCCGUGCCAGCAGCCGCGGUAAUACGGAGGAUCCGAGCGUUAUCCGGAUUUAUUGGGUUUAAAGGGAGCGUAGAUGGAUGUUUAAGUCAGUUGUGAAAGUUUGCGGCUCAACCGUAAAAUUGCAGUUGAUACUGGAUAUCUUGAGUGCAGUUGAGGCAGGCGGAAUUCGUGGUGUAGCGGUGAAAUGCUUAGAUAUCACGAAGAACUCCGAUUGCGAAGGCAGCCUGCUAAGCUGCAACUGACAUUGAGGCUCGAAAGUGUGGGUAUCAAACAGGAUUAGAUACCCUGGUAGUCCACACGGUAAACGAUGAAUACUCGCUGUUUGCGAUAUACGGCAAGCGGCCAAGCGAAAGCGUUAAGUAUUCCACCUGGGGAGUACGCCGGCAACGGUGAAACUCAAAGGAAUUGACGGGGGCCCGCACAAGCGGAGGAACAUGUGGUUUAAUUCGAUGAUACGCGAGGAACCUUACCCGGGCUUAAAUUGCAGAUGAAUUACGGUGAAAGCCGUAAGCCGCAAGGCAUCUGUGAAGGUGCUGCAUGGUUGUCGUCAGCUCGUGCCGUGAGGUGUCGGCUUAAGUGCCAUAACGAGCGCAACCCUUGUUGUCAGUUACUAACAGGUUAUGCUGAGGACUCUGACAAGACUGCCAUCGUAAGAUGUGAGGAAGGUGGGGAUGACGUCAAAUCAGCACGGCCCUUACGUCCGGGGCUACACACGUGUUACAAUGGGGGGUACAGAGGGCCGCUACCACGCGAGUGGAUGCCAAUCCCCAAAACCUCUCUCAGUUCGGACUGGAGUCUGCAACCCGACUCCACGAAGCUGGAUUCGCUAGUAAUCGCGCAUCAGCCACGGCGCGGUGAAUACGUUCCCGGGCCUUGUACACACCGCCCGUCAAGCCAUGGGAGCCGGGGGUACCUGAAGU
rnacentral:rRNA from 1 species